rnacentral:rRNA from 1 species
UACGGAGGGUGCAAGCGUUGUUCGGAUUUAUUGGGCGUAAAGCGCGUGUAGGCGGUCUCUUAAGUCUGAUGUGAAAGCCCUGGGCUCAACCCAGGAAGUGCAUUGGAUACUGGGAGACUUGAAUACGGGAGAGGGUAGUGGAAUUCCUAGUGUAGGAGUGAAAUCCGUAGAUAUUAGGAGGAACACCGGUGGCGAAGGCGGCUACCUGGACCGAUAUUGACGCUGAGACGCGAAAGCGUGGGGAGCAAACAGG